CCUACGGGAGGCAGCAGUGGGGAAUAUUGGGCAAUGGGCGCAAGCCUGACCCAGCAACGCCGCGUGAAGGAAGAAGGCUCUCGGGUUGUAAACUUCUUUUAUCAGGGACGAAGCAAGUGACGGUACCUAAUGAAUAAGCCCCGGCUAACUACGUGCCAGCAGCCGCGGUAAUACGUAGGUGGCAAGCGUUAUCCGGAUUUACUGGGUGUAAAGGGCGUGUAGGCGGGAAAGCAAGUCAGAUGUGAAAACCAUGGGCUCAACCUGUGGCCUGCAUUUGAAACUGUUUUUCUUGAGUACUGGAGAGGCAGACGGAAUUCCUAGUGUAGCGGUGAAAUGCGUAGAGAUUAGGAGGAACACCAGUGGCGAAGGCGGUCUGCUGGACAGCAACUGACGCUGAGGCGCGAAAGCGUGGGGAGCAAACAGGAUUAGAUACCCGAGUAGUC
rnacentral:rRNA from 1 species